UACGUAGGGUGCAGGCGUUAAUCGGAAUUACUGGGCGUAAAGCGUGCGCAGGCGGUUUGCUAAGACAGGUGUGAAAUCCCCCGGGCUUAACCUGGGAACUGCGCUUGUAACUGGCAAGCUUGAGUGUGGCAGAGGGGGGGUGGAAUUCCACGUGUAGCAGUGAAAUGCGUAGAUAUCUGGAAGAACACCGGUGGCGCAAGCGGAUUGCUGGGCCAUAACCGACACUGAGGAACGAAAGCUAGGGGAGCGAAUGGG
rnacentral:rRNA from 1 species